UGGCUCAGGAUGAACGCUAGCGGCAGGCUUAACACAUGCAAGUCGAGGGGCAACGCGAGUAGCAAUACUUGGCGGCGACCGGCGCAAGGGUGCGUAACGCGUGAGCAACAUGCCCGUAUCAGGGGGAUAAUCCAGGGAAACUUGGUCUAAUACCCCAUAGUAAUUUUUGUAAGGCAUCUUAUAAGAUUUAAAGCUUUGGUGGAUACGGAUUGGCUCGCGUGACAUUAGCUGGAUGGUAAGGUAACGGCUUACCAUGGCUAUGAUGUCUAGGGGUUCUGAGAGGAAGGUCCCCACACUGGAACUGAGACACGGUCCAGACUCCUACGGGAGGCAGCAGUGAGGAAUAUUGGACAAUGGAUGGAAAUCUGAUCCAGCCAUGCCGCGUGAAAAGGAAGAAGGUCCUAUGGAUUGUAAACUUCUUUUGUAUGGGAGCAAUAAGGCCUACGAGUAGGUUGAUGAGAGUACCAUACGAAUAAGCACCGGCUAACUCCGUGCCAGCCGCUGC
rnacentral:rRNA from 1 species